UUAAUCUUUUUUCAUGAAAAACUUUAAUUUUUGGUGGACAGUACGGAGUAAAAUAAUCCAAAAAUAUCGAGGAAUGGAUACAUAUUCGGACUUUAUGACCGCCUCAAAGGGAGACAAACAGGGAGAGAGGCACAGAGCUGGACCAGAGUGCGCCUGACAGGUGUUCAGAGUCAUGUCAAAGGCGUUUAUUCUGAUGCAGGAGGCGCUGCCAAACACACAGUGCAGUUUGCUCCAGAUGACGUGGCAUAAAAGCGGAAACAAAGAGUCGGACGAUCUUCCGAUUGGACGAAAAGACCAAAACAAACCUCCGACCUCUCCAAAGGAACUAUGGGAAACCAAUAUGGCGUCUCGCAUCGACGUGAAUAUACUCUUAUCACCGAAAUAUGAUAAAAAAUAUGGACUAAAGACACCCAAUAUCGGAUUUAUCAUCACGGAUUUAACGAGCAACGUGCCGUAAAAACACCCGGUUUCCAGGGCUGAGCAGAGAGGCUGCUGAAGGAGCUACGACGCGUCGGAGAAAUCCCCGUGAAAGGCGCAGCCGGGAGCCAAACACCGCCGAAGAAAGUAAGACGAUCCGACCUGCGGCCGCAGAGUUAGGACACUUUCCAGAGAGAG